rnacentral:lncRNA from 1 species
GCUUGAGGCAAGACAAGGUCUCCCAGAUGCCUGCUGUUGGUUCCGCGCGCCCCUCACCAGGUCUGCUGGUUGGACCGCGGCGCCCGCACGCCGGAGGUGCUUCCCUCUGCUUCGCGUCUACGGAUCUUCUCUUUGUGUCGUCUUCCACUUUGCUUUUAGCUUAGAGAUGUUACAUCGCUGAAACCCUUGUUCCCUGUUGAUAAUGACUCUUCGCCCUCGAACUGCGUCGUCAGAAGCAUGACUACCAAGUUUAUACGCAGUCUGCAAGCUGGAGAUAACGUUCAUGAGAGGUCAGAGGAGCAUGACCACGAAGACUGUAAGGACCAUAGCCCAAAGAGAUGGACUCUUUGAAGAGGAAAUAACGUCUUUGGUUUAAUCUUUGAGAACAUGAAAGAGGAAGACCUGAAGUUGUGAAGGGAAUGCCCAAAACAGAAAAGUAAAGAGUUUGCCUGCUUCUGUUUGGAGAGCUAACGCAGGUUUGGAUCUGGGAGGAGAGAAGGCAUGGCUGCUGCUCUUGCAGGACUCUCUGAAACACUCCACUCCGACAUCAGUGAGUGUGGAAACGCAGGGAUAUAAAAGAUGGACGCGAGCCAUGGUAGCUCCUAAAAGGCCUGGGUUGGAGGUCCAGUUUGUGUUUGUAUCUUUUACUCUAAAACCACAAGGUGGGGUGGGCAAGCAAGCGAAAUUUUACAGAUGCCGAAGUGUCAGUCAGCAGGUUGUUGAGGGUAACAUGACCCAAUGUUUCUACUAUUUCUCCAGGUCAUUGGGUUCCAGGUAGCCAUUGACGACACGCUUGGCAAACAGGCAUUGCAGGUGGUGCUUUGAGUAAAUCUUAAACUAAAUCAAUAAAUCAGUAUUUAAUAAC